rnacentral:tRNA from 1 species
GGAGGAGUUCCCGAGUGGCUAAAGGGGGCAGACUGUAAAUCUGUUGUCAGUGACUACGGUGGUUCGAAUCCACCCUCCUCCACCA